rnacentral:rRNA from 1 species
UUCCUACGGUCCUCCUCAUUUUUUAAUAUUUCACAAUUUGGUAAACCCUUAUGCAGCGACGCCGCGUGAAAGAAGAAGUAUUUCGGUAUGUAAACUUCUAUCAGCAGGGAAGAAAAUGACGGUACCUGACUAAGAAGCCCCGGCUAACUACGUGCCAGCAGCCGCGGUAAUACGUAGGGGGCAAGCGUUAUCCGGAUUUACUGGGUGUAAAGGGAGCGUAGGCGGUUUAGCAAGUCAGAAGUGAAAGCCCGGGGCUCAACUCCGGGACUGCUUUUGAAACUGUUGAACUAGAUUGCAGGAGAGGU